AUACUCACUUUGACAGCACAUAUACUAAAAUUGGAAAAAUACAUAGAAGAUUAGUGUGGCCCCUGUGCAAGGAUGACACUCAAGUUAAUGAAGCAUUCCACGUUUGU